rnacentral:rRNA from 1 species
AGUGAACGCUGGCGGCGUGCUUAACACAUGCAAGUCGAACGAGAACGGGUUAUAGCUUGCUAUAAUUGUCAGCUAAGUGGCGCACGGGUGAGUAAUGUAUAGGUAAUAUGCCUCUUACUAAGGGAUAACAAAUGGAAACGUUUGCUAAUACCUUAUACUCCUUUUAAACAGAAGUUUAAAAGGGAAAGAUUUAUUGGUAAGAGAUUAGCCUGUAUUGUAUCAGUUAGUUGGUGGGGUAAUGGCUUACCAAGACUAUGACACAUAACUGGUUUGAGAGGAUGAUCAGUCACACUGGAACUGAGACACGGUCCAGACUCCUACGGGAGGCAGCAGUGGGGAAUAUUGCACAAUGGACGAAAGUCUGAUGCAGCAACGCCGCGUGGAGGAUGACACAUUUCGGUGCGUAAACUCCUUUUAUAUGAGAAGAUAAUGACGGUAUUAUAUGAAUAAGCACCGGCUAACUCCGUG